rnacentral:rRNA from 1 species
AUUGAGCGCUGGCGGCAGGCCUAACACAUGCAAGUCGAGCGGGGGUAGGUAGCUUGCUACCGGACCUAGCGGCGGACGGGUGCGUAAUGCUUAGGAAUCUGCCUAUUAGUGGGGGACAACAUCUCGAGAGGGAUGCUACUACCGCAUACGUCCUACGGGAGAAAGCAGGGGAUCUGCGGAACUUGCGCUCACAGAUGAGCCUAGGUCGGAUUAGCUAGUUGGUGGGGUAAAGGCCUACCAAGGCGCCGAUCGGUAGCGGGUCUGAUAGGAUGAUCCGACACACUGGGACUGAGACACGGCCCAGACUCCUACGGGAGGCAGCAGUGGGGAAUAUUGGACAAUGGGCGCAAGCCUGAUCCAGCCAUGCCGCGUGUGUGAAGAAGGCCUUCGGGUUGUAAGGCACUUUCAGCGAGGAGGAAGGGUGGUGUGUUAAUAGCACAUCAUUUUGACGUUACUCGCAGAAGAAGCACCGGCUAACUCUGUGCCAGCCGCCGCCGUAA